rnacentral:rRNA from 1 species
CCUACGGGUGGCCGCAGUCGAGAAUCUUCCGCAAUGGGCGAAAGCCUGACGGAGCGACGCCGCGUGAUGGAUGAAGUCCCUAGGGACGUAAACAUCUUUUAUGAGGGAGAAAGUUUAUUGAUAGUACCUCAUGAAUAAGGGGUUGCUAAACUCGUGCCAGCAGCAGCGGUAAUACGAGUGCCCCGAGCGUUAUCCGGAAUCAUUGGGCGUAAAGGGUGUGUAGGUGGUUGUGUUAGUCAAUUGUUAAAACCCGGGGCUUAACCCCGGAAGUGCGAUUGAAACGGCACGACUAGAGGAUGGCAGGGAUGUGUAGAACUCAUGGAGUAGGGGUGAAAUCCGUUGAUAUCAUGGGGAAUACCGAAAGCGAAGGCAGCACAUUGGGCCACUCCUGACACUGAAACACGAAAGCGUGGGUAGCGAAUGGGAUUAGAUACCCUUGUAGUC